AUCCAACAGUCCCUGAGUUCAGGAAGUCUCUCCACAGAUAAACUGUCUCCUGCUCAGUGGUCAGCUCUGGUCUUCAUUUUACUGUCAUCAGAAAAAGAUCUGGAUGUGUUUGACCUGAAGAAAUACUCUGCUUCAGAGGAGGCUCUUCUGAGGCUGCUGCCAGUGGUCAAAGCCUCCAACAAAGCUCUCCUGAGUGGCUGUGACCUUUCAGAGAGAAGCUGUGAAGCUCUGUCCUCAGUUCUCAGCUCCCAGUCCUCUAGUCUGAGAGAGCUGGACCUGAGUAAUAACGUCCUGCAGGAUUCAGGAGUGAAGCUGGUAUCUCCUGCACUGACAAGUCCACACUGCAGACUGAAAACUCUCAGACUGAGUGGCUGUGACCUUUCAGAGAGAAGCUGUGAAGCUCUCUCCUCAGUUCUCAGCUCCCAGUCCUCUAGUCUGAGAGAGCUGGACCUGAGU